CCUGGCCAGGGAUGGCACACCCCUGGCUACAUUGACAGACCCAGUACUAGAGUGGCCAGAAGGUCUACAUGUGACCCCUGCAGGCCAGGUGCUGGUCUGUGGAGCCUGGUCCAACACUGUACUACAGGUGGGCUGGGAGGGAGAGAGUAAGCUGGCUACGCUGGCUACUCAGAAGGAUGAAGUGAGGCACCCAGCGUCAGUCUGCUACAGCAGCACUACAUCAUCCAUCAUUGUGGGACAGUGGGGGGACAACAUCCUGGUGAUCAGAGUGGAAUAGUGUGUACAUUUGCUGCUGAGUCGGGACAACAAUGCUGAGGAUGUGGGGGACAAGCAUGACGCAGAAGGAGAGCACCAGCAUUAAUAUCGAGUUGGCCAAGCAACAGCACCAGUCUGGCCUGCAGGAGCCCCUAUACAGAACCAUCCUUUCCCUCCCCUGAUCCCUAGCUCCUCGCACUGGACCUCCGGCCUCAAAGGGUCAGCAUCGUUACACAAGUCUGUGCAAUAAAUCCUCAGCACGUCAAGUUUUCACGCGCUGUUAUGAACAACCGAAAUAUCCGUGUCGAGAUUUCCCCAAGCAAGCCCGAGUAGUUUUGUUUAGCUCUAGUGCCAGAGUGGGAUGAGUGUUACAGAAGCGAGACGUUAUAGCAGUACUUAUGGUAAUGCUAACAGUUAACGCAAACAGUUAGUUCCUGCUGUGGACAUCACAAAGAAUCUCACGAAGAAUUAAACGUUGAAUAAUUUGUUUAAUUCUUUAUAAGACAGCUAAAUAUUCAGCAAGGAACGAGAGAAAAAAAGGAACAAUUGAAAUGAUUCAUUCAGAAGUAUAUCUGCUGUAGAUAGUUAGGACAGUAGUAGCGUUACAGACUGUCCUCAGCGCACAAUAUAUUCAUGUGGUGCACCACAGACGCAAAUUCUCCCCAUUAUUGAAAACAAGUUGCUAAAAGUAAACACGUCCGGUUUUGCACUCCGAGCCCAAAGGGCAUUGCAUUGAAUUGAGACUAAAGAAGGCUAAAAAACAUGACACCAGUUUUGUUGUAUGCUCCAGUACACCCUUCGACUCUCAGCCCGAAGUUAAUCAGAACUCAAACUCGGCCCUUAACAAUAUCCGCGAGGCCAGCAUAUAAGCUCAGCUUCUGAGCUUCAGCAACUGCUAAGCACAGAAGACAAAGGAGUAGUGAAAGGCUCAGCCAAAUCAAAGUCCAGCAAUGUGAGGGUGACACAGCCUUUCCAUGUCCUGGUAUUGCAACAUGAAGGACAUUUUAGCUGAAACUAACAAGGGAGAGAACUGUAGAUCUGCACCAGCACAGAGCACCAGCAUUGAUAUCGAGUUGGUCCAGCAACCGCACGAGCCCUACCUGCAGGAGCCCCAGUCCAGAACGACCUUUCCCCUCCCCUGACUUCUAACUCAUCCCCCUUGACCUCCUGACU